rnacentral:rRNA from 1 species
AGAGAGUUCAGAGACGUGAAAUCGCUGGAGUGGAACCGGAGACAGUUGAUGUCGCUUGGAGACAAGCUUGGUGGCUGGUCGCUUAGUUGUGAUCGUUGCCGGGUGUCGUCUCCUAUGCAACGCCGACGGCGUUGGCUGCUCGUUCUGGCCCGAUAAUGUUGCCCAGCUCGCAAGAGUCGGUGUCUUGUUGUCGGUAGUUGGUUCGUGGCGGCUAGCGUUUAGUUACACUAGUGUGUGUGACGUCGGUGUGAAAGUCAACGACGUUUCCGACCCGUCUUGAAACACGGAUUGCGGAGUGCUUGUCUACUGCGAGUCAAAGGGUGUUAAAACCUUGCGGCGAAAUGAAAGUGAAGGUCGAUCUUGAAUUGACCGACGUGGGAUCUGUGCUCUUCGGAGUGCUGCGCACCACGGCCCUAUGCGUGUCACUUGUGACUGUGUAGAGGUUGAGCAGUUGGCAAACGACCCGAAAGAUGGUGAACUAUGCCUGAGCAGGAUGAAGCCAGAGGAAACUCUGGUGGAAGUCCGUAUCGGUUCUGACGUGCAAAUCGAUCGAUAGACUUGGGUAUAGGGGCGAAAGACUAAUCGAACCAUCUAGUAG